AGAAUCAUGAAGGUGUUGAGGAAGCAGGAGCUGAAGAAGGCUUUGGAAACACUCAGACAUUACUUUCCCCGGUCACAAGAGGUGUAUGGAUGUGUUUCUAUUAUUAAUCGAGCAGAAGUUGACCACAGAGAUGUGCUGGUGGACCGGUGGCCAGAUUUCAGUGUGCUACUUGUUAAACCAAAAUGGCAGCAGGUAUUUGUUACAAAUGCAAGGAUAAUGCAGGAUGCAAGUGCAGUUGAGAGCUUUAUUAAGAGAGGCAGGCAGACAAAUCCAAAAUAAUAAGCAAGAACGUCGUCAAAGAACAGGCGAGGUUCAAGUGAUCUACAAACAACACAAACUAGGCGAAUCAAGAAUCAAUAAACAUACACAAUAUGUUGAAACAAUAGAAAAACAGAAACAAUAGAAGUGCAUGCUGUCAAGUGAGUGCUGGAGCAGGGGAAAUCCAUGACAGUAUUUUGCACAAGAUGACUUCAAUAUGCAAAUGAUUGGGGCUUAAAGUAUAAUAAUCCGUGUUAGGAAUAACAGGAAUAACUCAGUUUUAAUAGUUGACCUGUUUCUCUCAUAUACAGAAACCAGACUUUUUUAAUGAUGUGAGCAUUUUUACUAAGGACGAAUCAUGUCUCAGGAACAUACUAACCAGGACAGACAUCAGUCUAAGUAUUAAUUUUGAACUUCUUAUUGUCAUGGAUAUUGACCUAUUCUAACUGUGCGAUGGGAAUGAUGUACACACUUCCAGAGCCUAGACGGAAAGGCUACGGCAAAGCCCUGGUCACCAUAUUGGCAAAGAAACUGCAUUCAGAGGGCUAUCCAGUGUACUGCUUCAUUGAGGAGGAGAACUAGUUGUCCUACAGGCUCUUUACCAGUUUAGGCUUCACUGAGGAUCUGUCUUAUAGGAAUGCUCUGUUUUACUUCAAUCAAUUGUCUCUGACUCCAUAUGUAGUUUGGGACAAGGAACAUUCCUGUCAUGAUUGCAUGGUUGAAGGGGGUGUUCAGCACACAUUCAUUAAGUUAUCCACACGUACCCCAUGACUGGUUGGCUGUCCACUCCUCCUUUAUCAUAUCACUGUCCUUGCAUUAUGUAAAGCAAAUAAAACCAUGAGAAAACAACUCAAUGUUUAUUAUGUUGUUAGUUGUUAAUGUUGUCUGUAAUCUAAACACGUGUAUAUGCAUAUUGUGGAAACCCCAUACCAAAAGUCGAAUGAUAUCUCAUUUAAAUAAAUUAAACACUAAACCCAGCCUUUUAGAUUAUACAUAAAAAAUGUUAUUGUUUUUCUAUUGGAUUAGCAAAUUAAAUUUAUAGUAAACAUUAUUUGGUAAAUUCCACAUAAUGAUAGCUCUAAAAAAGAUGGACACAUCCCUGUUUCUCAUGGUAGUGAAGCUGGGUGUUGGAGCAAAAACGUCUUCUUGGUGGUUGCUUUCCUUUUCUUUUCUUUAUUAUUAGGUUCAUUUUAUUUUGAGAUUAUUUUAAGCUCACAUUUCACAUGGGUCAGAUGAUGAUAUUGAUGCAGCAUGAAUGCCUGUUUAGAAGCUCUUCUAAGUUUCAAACACUUUUUAAAAUAUAAUUUUACGAAUUCCGGUGGCCUAUGACCACCAGACAAGCACACAAAGUACAAUGAGAUCUCUGUAAAUGACUUUUUAGGCUUCCAAUAUUUUUGAAAACUUGCAGCCUGCUGUCUAGCUAAAACUGUAGCUAUCAUGACAUUAUGGAAUGCUGCUGAUCAGCUCUCACUGUAUUUAUGGUGUUGAAUCUUAGCUAAUGUUACACUCUGGAGGAAGUAAGUAACAAUUCACUUACUUAACCUUUAUGUUACUCGCUGAAGUCUGAAAUGACUAGUUGGUUUUAGUUGGUAAAAAUUGUCUUUUCUGACGUUGGUGUAUAAAAUAAAGGUUAACCUCUAUAAAUGUGGGCUUCUCAGUCCCAUACAGUCCCUGUCUCAGCUGAAGAGAAGCAGCCAGAUUGCAUGCUGCCACCAGCAUGUUUCACUGUGGGUGUGGUAUUUGUUAGGUGAUAAUAAUCUUGGUUUUGCACCAAACAUAUAUUUUACAGUUAUUUUCUAAAUUUACCACAUGGUUUGGUGUGAUUUAGGUGGGCUUGGAUGUUUCUUUGUUUUUUGUGAGAAAGGACUUUCGUCUAGCUUCCCUACCCCACGGCCAAGACGUGAAGAACAUGAGAGCUUGUUGACACAUGCAGGGAGUGACCAGUACUUGCUACAUAUUCCUGCAGCUCUUUUAAUGUUGCUGUAGGUCCCUUGGCAGCCUCCCUUAUACAUUUAUUUCUUGUUCUUUUGUCAAUUUUGGAGGGACAUCUUGUUCUUGGUAA